AGGCAAUGCACUUGUGUGCCGGCGACAAGGGGGAUUCUGCUCCAGGCGUUCUUGUCCCUUUGGUACGCGUUUUGUUGGAAGAUGUGCUGGAGAAUAUGUGUGCUGCAGAAGUCCCAGGGGCUGAGACCCUGAAAUCCCAAGCAGGACAUGACCCUCGCUUCUGGCUGCUGGACCCAUGUGCUGAUGUCCCCAUGUGCUGAUGUCCCCAUGUGCUGAUGUCCCUUGUCCUGGGUGGCUGUGCCGUGCCCAGCUGGGCUGACAGCAGCAGUGGCAGCUGCUCCUGCUGGCUGCUGCUGGGCUGGAGCCCUGUGGUGCCAGCCCCGAUGUCUUUGGGGCAGGGGCUGCUUUUCCCACCUUGAAUAAAGACGAGCACUUUGGCAUUG